ensembl:antisense
CCCCGCCUCGGCGAGCCGGGCGCCGGGCAGGAACGCUGGCCUUUCGUUCCCGCGCUGCUUGGAGGUACCUUGCCAUGGCCCCGUCCCACCUACCGAGCACAGGAAGAAACAGCACGUCGCGCUGGUAACUGCGAUGGCGGGAACAGGCGAAUCCCUGGAACGUUUCCUCACAGGGUAGUCUCGCACUUGCGUUCGAAGGUUCGCGGCACGUCAAGAACCACACACGCUGUUUCUCUUAUGAGCGCGGUCGAGCGCGGAGGACUCCUCUGCGCAUGCCGGGUACUUCUCUGUGACGUGCUGCAUUGCACUCUGGGAAACGUAGUUCUUACUUCGACACCUGUGCUUUGA